rnacentral:rRNA from 1 species
AUUGAACGCUGGCGGCAUGCCUUACACAUGCAAGUCGAACGGCAGCACGGGAGCAAUCCUGGUGGCGAGUGGCGAACGGGUGAGUAAAGUAUCGGAACGUGCCCAGUCGUGGGGGAUAACGUAGCGAAAGUUACGCUAAUACCGCAUACGAUCUAUGGAUGAAAGCGGGGGAUCGCAAGACCUCGCGCGAUUGGAGCGGCCGAUAUCAGAUUAGGUAGUUGGUGGGGUAAAGGCUCACCAAGCCGACGAUCUGUGGCUGGUCCGAGAGGACGACCAGCCACACGGGGACUGAGACACGGCCCAGACUCCUACGGGAGGCAGCAGUGGGGAAUUUUGGACAAUGGGCGCAAGCCUGAUCCAGCCAUGCCGCGUGCAGGAUGAAGGCCUUCGGGUUGUAAACUGCUUUUGUACGGAACGAAAAGGUUUGGCCUAAUAAGCUGAGCUCAUGACGGUACCGUAAGAAUAAGCACCGGCUAACUACGUGCCAGCCGCCGCAGUAA